GGAGUCUGCCGGACAGUCACUUUCCGCACUCUCUAAGGAGAAUGCGGGGAGAGGAAAGUCCGGGCUCUACGGGCAGGGUGCCAGGUAACGCCUGGAGGAUGCGAGUCCAUGGAAAGUGCAACAGAGAGUAGACCGCCUUUUUCCUGUUCGAAUCAAAUUCGGGCAGGCGACAGGUAAGGGUGAAACGGCGUGGUAAGAGCACACCGCACGACUAGCAAUAGUGGUGGCUAGGCAAACCCCACCCAGAGCAAGACCAAAUAGGGGGGCGUGGAGUAUUCCAGCAUAUCGCCCAUAUGGCCCCCGGGUAGGUUGCUAGAGGUUCAUGGCGACAUGAAUCCCAGAUGAAUGGCUGUUCAAGACAGAACCCGGCUUACAGGCAGGCUCCCGAU
rnacentral:RNase_P_RNA from 1 species